AUUCCGUGUCUGAAUAACUAAUAUUGUAGAAGUUUCGUUCGUUUAAAAUCACGAUGCAAAUUGAACAUCCCGUCGAUAACGAAGUACCGUCUGUCGCACCUUUACGCUUUCUGGAUGUUGAGGACGUAAAACUGCGUUUACAUUGGUCUAGUAACAUUGUAGUGAUCCAAUCCAGCACUGGAUCGUAACCGGAAUAAUGUAAACAGUGUUUUCAGUGCAGUAGAGUGGUACCAUUGCAGUAAGUAAUCCAGUCAAACGAUUGCAUGGAAAGUCUACUUUUUCAAUCCAGUAUUUACCUCAUCAUAGUAGAGAACACAACAUUCCAACGUUAGUGGAAUCGUCUUGUACAACGCAGCAGAGUUUUAGCCUGCGAAUGGUCAGACGGGAUUUCGUGAGAAUGAGUAAUCCAAACGUUCAAGGAUAGCUGGCUGCUCGAAGUCACGUAGCUAUCGGGUGACACAGGAUCGAAUUUUCGGAAGACGCGUGAGAGAGUUUGGACGUGACAAGUAAUCCGAAUACGUUUACCAAAAAACAGGAAUAUUGUUUCCAGAGAAUCUGGCCGCAGCAUGUCGACUAAAAUACCUUCUGCUGAAUGCAUCGUGAAUAUCUCGUCUACACUCACAGAGCUGUCCAGCUGGAUAAAUUGUAAAGUAUAAAUUAAAUAACAAAAAAGAUAAAACUCACAGAUACUGUCCGUAGAUAAUAGUCUUCGUACAGUGUUCGCUGCCAGUCAUUGGAUCAUGUAUGCAAACUGUCUGCACACGAUGUCGUUUGUCUAUUGCAGUCUAAAGGCUAAAGCCUAAUGAGGGUUCCGGCUACUCGUAAUUUUGUAUCAGCCGACCUUUUGCACGACCACAAUGGCCCCAACCCAUAAUUUCGGGUACCCGCACACCCUUAUAGCCUGUCCAACGAGACGAGAAAGCGGACAUAAACAAAAUGUAAUACCUGCAGCUACAGCAAUCGCACCUAAUUAGUGUCUCCGGUUAUGUCUCUUUUUUUUCUAUUAUGCGCUUAAGGUCACAUGCACCUUUCGAGAUUAUUAGUGACUACGGUGAGGAUGAUUAGUGGCACAGAGCGUACCUACGUAUAAUAUGUUGUACAAAUCAAUAUCUUUGGGGAAACUUAGAACUUUCUCGCACGAGUCUUCCUUUUGUAACACAUUGGACAAAUUAGUUGGGUCGUGCUAUACCCUUGCAAUAUCGUAUUUAGCACAGAUGAUUAGGAUAUGUCCGAUAGAGUUUAGAAUGCCGCAGGUGUCAGAUAUUUGAUUCAGUUUUGGUGAUAAAGUUGGAGCGUGUUCAGGUCCGUGUCUUUGAGCAAGGUUGCUAUCGCGACUUAUGGGGCACAUUGUACAUUCUGUAAUUUGCGGAAGAUAAAGCAGAGAACUGUUAAACUAUUUCGGAGAUCUUUAGUCGAAGACUGUCAGUAGACUGCGGAUUUUUAUGGAUUCGUGGAAAAUUUGACAAUACAAUAUUGCAGAGAAUGCACAUAAUAUGAAGAAAUGUAUGAAAUGUACAAAGCGUAACACUUUCUAUAAUGCUUGACAGGUAAAACAAUUCCCUACUGAGCCUACACCUUUUUAAUUAUAUUCUCAAAAACAUGAACUUGUAUAAAAAUCCGCAAUUAAUAGUUGUCACUAUAGAAACGAUCUUCCUGCGGAAAUAAGCCUAGAAGACGGCCUUGGAUUUAAGAAUUUUGUAAGGAUGUCGAAAACUGGUUUUGACAUUUUAUUAUGGAAAGUUGGUCCGAAAAUAGAAAGGAAGGCGAGAAUUGUUGCCGAACCGGUGGCGAAAGAAAGAAAAUCAAAACAAAGCCUGGCAGCGUACAGACGAUUAAAUUGAACUGCAUGUUGUCGUUUCCACGUUCUUCUAACAUCUGUCCAUAGACGUAGUCCCUUAUUUUCUAUCGCAAUGGAAACUUGCAUUUUACCUGCUGUUAUUUCCCGAUUUUUCUCGAACAACGUGCACAGAUUAACUGUGGAAAGUUGUCUAUGGACAGUUGUCUGUCAGUGUAGACGAGGCUGAAGACGUAAAGGUACGCGUCCACUUGAAGGUAAAACUAUCGCGAGCUGCUCUCGAGAGUCACUCGCGACAAACGCUAUCGAGUGUAACUCGCGAUAGAUUUACUCUCAAGUGGCCGUGUAUCUUCAAAGUACUUCAGAACCUGAGAACAUAACGAAGUGGGAGAUUGAAGUUGUUGAAAGUGGAUCUAGUUAAAAACGAUUUUAUGAUUAGAUGCGUAGAAUUAUUGGAUGAAACUUUUAAUAAAAAGAAAAUACCAUUACGAUUAAUUAUAUUGAUAUUUAAACAUGGAAAUAUCUCUCCAUUUAUUGCUAUUUGUAUCUGUAUAAGAGCUAUUGUUAGGGAGAAAUUAUUUACUUUCGAGCUACAAGAAAUGGUUCAUAUUUUCGUAGAAUAAGCAGUAAGAUAUUUAAAUCAUCCUCUUUUACACAAAGCAACAAAUACAUGGAUAGAAUAGCAGGAAACCUGAGCAAUUGCUAAGAGAACUGAGUUGUCAUAAAAACCAUAGAAACGUUGUUACCGCAGAUAUCUAUGUAUAGGCUGUAGAUCCUGGGUUUUACGUUUAUCGUUCAAGUGUAAUUUAGGCUUAAGACGAUUGAGUGUAUCCAAAAACUAUGAUGUAUGAAUGGAGAAAUAAAUAUAUGUACAUACAAUAUACAAGGUGAGUCAGAACAUGCGAGAAGUGCGGCAGGGACUGUAUCAGCAAGCUAACAUAAACAGUAAAGUUCACAUAAAUACAUACUCGAUAUGAUCUCGGUGUCGAAUCACAGUUUAUUUUGUGAUACUAAACACUACUUAUCAGGCCUGUAAGUAUGAAACCGGAAUUUGUCUAUAGAUGGCCCUAGCUGAUAAUGUAGUUGUCACUAAACUGCGUCAUUGAUGCCAAAAGUCUUUGUUGACAUCUCACAAACAUUUUCGACUCAAAACAAUACAAGUUUCAUACAACAGCGUAGUUUGUAAUAGCGUUGAACAUGUCAAAUUUUGUGCCUGGAAACUACGAUUUGCGGACAGCAUUGAUUUUCUGGUACCAUUUGAAGAAAACUGCUGCAGAAUCGCAUCGAAUGCUCGUCGAAGCUUACGAUGAGCAUGCUCCUGGUAAAUUACAGGGCUUUGAGUGGUUUAAAAAAUUCAGAAGUGGCGAUUUUGACGCGAGGAACGAAGAACGUGGAAGACCACCGAAAAAGUUUCGAGACAGCGAAUUGCAAGCAUCGUUGGACGAGGAUGACGCUCAAACGCAACAACAACUCGCUGAUCGAUUAAACGUGACACAAGAAGCCGUCUCCAUGCGUUUGAAAGCCAUGGGAAAGAUCUAGAAGAU